rnacentral:rRNA from 1 species
AGUUAGAGCCCGUUAAUGGGUGAUAGCGUGCCUUUUGUAGAAUGAACCGGCGAGUUACGAUUUGUUGCAAGGUUAAGCGGAAAAAGCGGAGCCGUAGCGAAAGCGAGUCUGAAUAGGGCGCAUGAGUAACAGGUCGUAGACCCGAAACCAGGUGAUCUACCCAUGUCCAGGAUGAAGGUGAGGUAAUACUCACUGGAGGUCCGAACCCACGCACGUUGAAAAGUGCGGGGAUGAGGUGUGGGUAGCGGAGAAAUUCCAAUCGAACCUGGAGAUAGCUGGUUCUCUCCGAAAUAGCUUUAGGGCUAGCCUCGAGGUAAAGAGUCGUGGAGGUAGAGCACUGUUUGGACUAGGGGCCCUUCUCGGGUUACCGAAUUCAGAUAAACUCCGAAUGCCAUGUACUUAUACUCGGGAGUCAGACUGCGAGUGAUAAGAUCCGUAGUCGAAAGGGAAACAGCCCAGACCACCAGUUAAGGUCCCAAAAUAUAUGUUAAGUGGAAAAGGAUGUGGGGUUGCAUAGACAACCAGGAUGUUGGCUUAGAAGCAGCCACCAUUGAAAGAGUGCGUAAUAGCUCACUGGUCGAGUGACCCCGCGCCGAAAAUGUACCGGGGCUAAACAUAUUACCGAAACUGUGGAUGAACCUCUUUGGAGGUUCGUGGUAGGAGAGCGUUCUAAGGGCGGUGAAGUCAGACCGGAAGGACUGGUGGAGCGCUUAGAAGUGAGA